CUGGAACUCUUGGAUAUGUGGUGGUCUGGAGGUGGCUUCACUCUCACCAGGUCCUUCCAUGACUUUCUCAGUGAUGCCACACAGGAAAACUUCCACUGUCCUACUGAAACAGAAGAACAAACUUGUUUCCAUAUAGGAUCUAUUCCUUGAGUUCUAGAUUUUGUACUUUGUUGCCUGGGCUUAGUCAUGCUGACUCUACAGUUUUGUAAAAGAAUAUUGCCUAUAGCCUAAAAUAUACAGGCAACCCAUUCUUAAGGCUCUGACUUAAAGGUAUAACAGCUUUCCAUUAAAAAGUUGUGGAAUAGUGAAG
rnacentral:lncRNA from 1 species